rnacentral:rRNA from 1 species
GACGGAAGGUGCAAGCGUUGCUCGGAAUCACUGGGCGUAAAGGGUGCGUAGGCGGCUUGGUAGGUCUGGUGUGAAAGCCCCGGGCUCAGCCCGGGAAGGGCACUAGAAACUGCCAAGCUAGAGUGCCGGAGGGGAGAGUGGAAUUCCUGGUGUAGCGGUGAAAUGCGUAGAUAUCAGGAGGAAUACCGGGUGGCGAAAGCGACUCUCUGGGGCAGAUACUGACACUGAGACGCGAAAGCGUGGGUAGCAAACAGG